UACGAAGGGUGCAAGCGUUAAUCGGAAUUACUGGGCGUAAAGCGCGCGUAGGUGGUUCAGCAAGUUGGAUGUGAAAGCCCUGGGCUCAACCUGGGAACUGCAUCCAAAACUACUGAGCUAGAGUACGGUAGAGGGUAGUGGAAUUUCCUGUGUAGCGGUGAAAUGCGUAGAUAUAGGAAGGAACACCAGUGGCGAAGGCGACUACCUGGACUGAUACUGACACUGAGGUGCGAAAGCGUGGGGAGCAAACAGGAUUAGAACCGUACCGUC
rnacentral:rRNA from 1 species